AUUGAACGCUGGCGGCAGGCCUAACACAUGCAAGUCGAGCGGAGCGGCGGACGGGUGAGUAAUGCCUAGGAAUCUGACUGGUAGUUGGGGAUAACGUCCGGAAACGGGCGCUAAUACCGCCUACUAUCAGAUGUGCCCAGAGGGGAGUGGCUAGUAGGUGGGGUAACGGCUCACCUAGGCGACGAUCCCUAGCUGGUCUGAGAGGUGGACCAGCCACACGUGAACGGAGCCACGGUCCAGACUCCUACGGUAGGCAGCAGUGGGGAAUAGUGCACAAUGGGCGCAAGCCUGAUGCAGCCAUGCCGCGUGUGUGAAGAAGGCCUUCGGGUUGUAAAGCACUUUCAGCGGGGAGGCGUUACCCGCAGAAGAAGCACCGGCUAACUCCGUGCCAGCAGCCGCGGUAAUUC
rnacentral:rRNA from 1 species